rnacentral:lncRNA from 1 species
CAACGGGUUCGAGCAGGUUAGGGGCCGCGCAGGCGGAGGAAAGGAGUAACCCAGGGGAAGGACCGAGUGCAGCGGGGACGGGGAAAUCCCUCUCUCCCCUCCGCCUGUCUUUCAAAGCACCAGCCCUCGACCCUCCAAAUCGCUGGUUUCCCCGGCCACUUGAACAGCCCCUGCCAGGUUGAAGAGGCAGGAGACACACCCCCUCUGGGGCUGGAGCGACCCCGCGCUUAGGACUGCAGGCCUCGCGCUGCCGCACCGCCCCGAAUCUGACUUCCAGGCACGGGCACGCGGUGCAGUCGGGCAGGCUUCAGAAGAGCCCCCAGCUCUCCCAGAGGUGGCCUUAGGUCACUCUCAAAAAGAAUAACCAAUGUGUCAAUGGCACUUGUAGUUAUUUUCUAAUUUAAAUUUAUUAACAGAUUUUGCAGAUGGGCUUCCACUGAAAUAAGCCUUUGAGAAAAAGAAAAACUUUUUUUUUCAACAGGAUUAGAAUACCAAGAAAUAGGAAGUAAAGCCAUGCCGUCCACCCAGCUAAAAACUUUGAAAACUUGAUAUUUUAUCUAAGGCAAAUGUUUGCAUAACUUUAGGUCAUGCCAUUAUUUAAAGUCAAUUUCAGUUAACAAUUUCAUUGCAACUGAAUCUAUCUUGUAUAAGAAAACUAAGAUACAUCCCUGAUAAUCUACCUCUCCCCUCCUAUACUCCAUCCGUCAGCAAAUCCUACUGGUUUUUACCUUCCAAAUUUUCCUUGAAUCUGUCCUCUUCUAUCUCCUCCGUCACCACCCUAGUCUAGGCUGCCUUCACCUGGGGAGUGAGGGUCGAGGGACUACUGACCUAGUCUUCUUGUGGUUUACCCAUAUCCCCUUUAUCGCCUCUCUAAUCUCAACACAACAGGCAGAGUGGCUUUUCCAAAAUAUAAUGUGACCGUGUCACUUCCCAGCCUAAAGCACUUAAACACCUUCCCAUUCUCUUAGACAAAACCUCCUAACUAACCAAGCCCCGAAUGGCCAGGCGCCUUGCCCACUUCUUCAUCUCUUCUCACUACUCAGACCAAUUCUGUUCUGCUCUCUCUGCUCCAGCCAAACUGGCCUCUUUUAUUCCCUAUUUACCAGCUUCCUGGCCUCCACAGAGCUUUUGCUCAUGCUUUGCUCUGUGCCUGGAAAGUUCUUCUAACCCCUAUUCUUCUGAGAACAGCUGUAGUCUCCACCUCUGAAAAGCACCUUCUGACCUCCCUAUGGUGGUCCCUUACUCCUAUCACAUUGCAUGAAACUGUAAUCGGGUGGUUAUUUUGGUGAAUUUUUUACUAUCGGCUACGUAAGCCCAGG